rnacentral:rRNA from 1 species
UACGUAGGCAGCGAGCGUUGCUCGGAGUUACUGGGCGUAACGGGUGUGUAGGCGGUUGUUUAAGUUUGGUGUGAAAUCCCCCGGCUUAACCUGGGAACUGCGUCUGAUACUGGACGGCUGGAGUUUGGGAGAGGGAUGUAGAAUUCCAGGUGUAGCGGUGAAAUGCGUAGAUAUCUGGAGGAAUACCGGUGGCGAAGGCGGCAUCCUGGACCAAUACUGACGCUGAGGCGCGAAAGCUAGGGGAGCAAACGGG